UAACACAUGCAAGUCGAGUGCGCGGUUGUAGCAAUACAACUGGCGCACGGCGCACGGGUGCGUAACACGUGGGUAACCUGCCCUUUAGUGGGGAAUAACCCCGGGAAACCGGGGCUAAUACCGCAUAAGAUCCGCAAGGAUGAAAGCCGUAAGGCGCUGAUGGAGGGGCCCGCGCACGAUUAGCUAGUUGGUAGGGUAACGGCCUACCAAGGCUAUGAUCGUUAGCUGGUCUGAGAGGAUGGCCAGCCACACUGGAACUGAGACACGGUCCAGACUCCUACGGGAGGCAGCAGUGGGGAAUCUUGCACAAUGGGCGAAAGCCUGAUGCAGCGACGCCGCGUGGGGGAUGAAGCUUCUUCGGAGUGUAAACCCCUUUCGACCCGGACGAAUGCCCGCAAGGGAUUUGACGGUACGGGUAUAAGAAGCCCCGGCUAACUACGUGCCAGCAGCCGCGGUAAGA
rnacentral:rRNA from 1 species